UAUGCAGUGAUCAGUACAUAUCAAAUGUUUUGAGUGAGUUUUCAGUGACCAUGAGAAUACCUUACAUGCACUACCAUCUGAGAUGUG